UGCUCAAGGUAACACAGCUGAUAAAUGGU
rnacentral:piRNA from 1 species